UUUAUGGAGAGUUUGAUCCUGGCUCAGGACGAACGCUGGCGGCGUGCCUAAUACAUGCAAGUCGAGCGGACUGA
rnacentral:rRNA from 1 species